rnacentral:rRNA from 2 species
GACGAACGCUGGCGGCGCGCCUAACACAUGCAAGUCGAACGGAGAUAUUCGCUGAGAAACACUUCGGUGUGGAUCUUGGGUAUCUUAGUGGCGGACGGGUGAGUAACACGUGAGCAACCUGCCGAAGAGUGGGGGAUAACGUCUGGAAACGGACGCUAAUACCGCAUAACAUCGGGGAGAGGCAUCUUUUCCCGAUCAAAGGAGCAAUCCGCUUUUUGAUGGGCUCGCGCCCGAUUAGAUAGUUGGUGAGGUAACGGCUCACCAAGUCGACGAUCGGUAGCCGGACUGAGAGGUUGAUCGGCCACAUUGGGACUGAGACACGGCCCAGACUCCUACGGGAGGCAGCAGUGGGGGAUAUUGCACAAUGGGGGAAACCCUGAUGCAGCGACGCCGCGUGGGUGAAGACGGCCUUCGGGUUGUAAAGCCCUGUUGAGGGGGACGAUAAUGACGGUACCCCUUUAGAAAGCCACGGCUAACUACGUGCCAGCAGCCGCGGUAAUACGUAGGUGGCGAGCGUUGUCCGGAAUUACUGGGUGUAAAGGGAGCGUAGGCGGGGCAGUAAGUUAGAUGUGAAAUACCGCGGCUCAACCGCGGGGCUGCAUCUAAAACUAUUGCUCUUGAGUGAGGUAGAGGCAGGCGGAAUUCCUAGUGUAGCGGUGAAAUGCGUAGAUAUUAGGAGGAACACCAGUGGCGAAGGCGGCCUGCUGGGCCUUAACUGACGCUGAUGCUCGAAAGCGUGGGGAGCAAACAGGAUUAGAUACCCUGGUAGUCCACGCUGUAAACGAUGAUUACUAGGUGUGGGGGGUCUGACCCCUUCCGUGCCGGAGUUAACACAAUAAGUAAUCCACCUGGGGAGUACGGCCGCAAGGUUGAAACUCAAAAGAAUUGACGGGGGCCCGCACAAGCAGUGGAUUAUGUGGUUUAAUUCGAAGCAACGCGAAGAACCUUACCAGGUCUUGACAUCCUGCGACAACCCUGGAGACAGGGCUUUCCUUCGGGACGCAGAGACAGGUGGUGCAUGGUUGUCGUCAGCUCGUGUCGUGAGAUGUUGGGUUAAGUCCCGCAACGAGCGCAACCCUUACGGUUAGUUGCUACGCAAGAGCACUCUAGCCGGACUGCCGUUGACAAAACGGAGGAAGGUGGGGAUGACGUCAAAUCAUCAUGCCCUUUAUGACCUGGGCUACACACGUAAUACAAUGGCGCGCAACAAUGGGCAGCGAAGGGGCGACCUGGAGCGAAUCCCCAAAACGCGUCUCAGUUCGGAUCGCAGGCUGCAACUCGCCUGCGUGAAGUCGGAAUUGCUAGUAAUCGUGGAUCAGCACGCCACGGUGAAUACGUUCCCGGGCCUUGUACACACCGCCCGUCACACCAUGGGAGUCGGUAACACCCGAAGUCGGUAGCCUGACCUUUUAGGAGGGCGCCGCCGAAGGUGGGAUUGAUGACUGGGGUG